CAACUCCCUUUUUCCUUACUGAAGAGAAGGAGAAAUUUCAGAAACUCUGAUCUUUGAAGUGGUGGGUGCUUUUCUGAAGAAGCUAAGAAACAAUCUCUAAAUUACGGUCGAAAACCCAAGUAAGGACGUAUAGGCAGAUCAUGAAGUAUCUUAAUGCAAGACUGGAUUGAGCCUUUAAUGCCUCCUGCCAGAGGAGAUGGAGAAUGAUCCAGCUGGAAACCAGUUUGCAGCUUAGUCUGGAUAGAGAAGGAAGGAAAAAAAAAUCAAUACAAAAUUAUCAGACAACAACUUUUGCCCUGCUUCCAAAACUGUUGAGACAGAGAACUAUACAUAAAAUUUAUACACUGUCUUUUUUUUGUGCAGUUGAACAUCACCUACAGGGCGGCUUCAGAAGCCACAGCUUAUUGCAGGAACAGCAACAGCAAAAAAGAUUGAAAGUAAUUUUAUUACUUUAUAUUAUUCUGCAAUACAAUUUAACAAAAUAAACCUGUUAGGGAAGAAGCUUAUUGUGCAUAUUGCAUAACAAAAUGAAGCCAGAGUUUCUAUUGAAUCUGCAAAUAAUUUACCUGGAAUUUCUGUUCCUUUGCAAAGUAAUUCUUUUCAUUUUGGAAAAAAAAAAAAGUAUGUGAUCCAUUACAAGAAGUACAGUAAAGCAAAGAUAUUUUUUCUGUACAAGCAGAGAUUACUAUUUUAUACCUUCAAGCUUCUACCACUCGUAGAGGCAAGCUGUGAGGAGCUACAGAUCACUUGUGUAACGAAAUCUGAGCUCAGCAGGAAGAAUGUGUCAUUCAGAAAAGCAAACUCUUACUUUGUCCUCAAGAACGGUAGGACUGCAUCACAACAGCAUUUACAACUGCAAAAUUUGGAAGACGUUAUUUAAUUCACUAGGGACUGUAGGUGGAGCAGCAAGACUGCACCACUUGCAUGUUUACCAGGUGACUAUAACUCAGAACACAUUGGUUAUAAUUUGAACAGUAAGUUCACUCUCUGAUGUGUCCAAAGACUUAAAAACAAGCACUUGCUCAGUUACUGAGAGCAUUUCCAUUGGCAUUAGGACCAUGAAUCAUGUAGUAGCCUGCAUCCUUAAUUGUUUCAGCUAAUAAGGAACCACAGGCCUAGAUUUUUAUUUAUAUUUUUACUACUGUCAUUUAUGCAUAAGAUCUUGCAGUAGGCCUUUUUUUUUGUUUUUCUAGGCAGUCAGUGAGAUCCUACCACUCUGUCCAAGACCAGGAUAUGUCUUUUCACAAUGACAUCUCCUCUAAAAUAUCCUGUCCCUUUGAAACAAAAGUGUUUGGAACAAAAACAGAAGAUAAAGUGGCCAACUUUAUGUGAAUACAUUUGUGAAUCUCUACUUCCUAAAGGGGUAAAAGAGCAACAAAUCAGAGUUUCUCUGGCACCGUAACACCAAGGUCAGUGAUGCAGCUGAUGCAGUGGAAGGAAAGGAUGCUAUUUAGAGGGACCUCAGCAGACUCGAAAGGUGAGCCUGUGUGAAUCUAAUGAGGUUCAGUACAGGAAAGUGCAAGGUUUUGUACUUGGGCUGGAGGAAUCCCAGGCAUACUUAUAGACCGGAAGGAGCAGUCCUUGAGAGUAGCCUUGCAGAGGAGGACCUGGGGGUCCUGAUGGAUGAAAAACUUAACAUGAGCCAGCAGUGUGCUCUUGCAGCUGGGAAAGCAAAUGGUAUCCUGGGAUCCAUCAGAAGAGGGGUAGCCAGCAGGGACAGGGAGACAGUUAGCCUUCUCUACUCUGCCCUUGUGAGGCCCCAUCUGGAGUACUGUGUCCAGGUCUGGAGCCCCCAAUAUUGGAGCUGUUGGAGAGGGUCCAGAGGAGGGCCACAGAGAUGAUCAGCAAGCUGAAGCACCUCCAGUAUGAAGAGGCUGAGGGAGUUGAGCUUGUUCAGCCUGAAGAAAAGAAGGCUGCGGGGUGACCUUAUUGCAGCCUUUCAAUACCCCAAGGGAGCCUAUAAACAAGAGAGGAAUCAACUCUUUGAAAGGGUAGAGAACAGCAGGACAAGGGGAAAUGAUUUUAAGUUGAGGGAAGGAAGAUCUAGCUUGGAUGUCGGGGAUAUUCUUACAGAGAGUGGUGAGGUGCUGGAAAAGGCUGCCCAGAGAGGCUGUGAUUGCCCCGUCUCUGGAGGUGUUUAAGUCCAGGUUGGACGGGGCUCUGAGCAGCCUGGUCUAAUAUCAAAUGUGGAGGUUUCAGCUGGUGAAAUGAAGCUAUGUGGAGAACCAAGGUAUUUUAUGUGUUGACUUACUUGUUAAACAUAACACUAAGACUUUACUGAAUGCUCAGAAAUAGAACACUUUGUCAAGAAGCUAAAACCAUUCCACAUUUGUGCAAAAUAUCAGAAAGUUCACAAUGGUAUUCUAAAUUAACCUGUUACCUUCUCCAAUUAAGGCAAAAAUCAACUACAGAUAUAUAAGUAUGUUACAAUGUUCAGGUUAAGUAAGUACAAGAUUUUAAACAUUUGGAACUGGAUAAUCAUUAGUGGGAGUGAAAGGGAACUUGCUGCCCUAAUAAGGUGAACACUAAAUUCAGAUCAGGUUCUUUAGGGUUUCAUUCAACUGGACGUUGGUUUCUUUCCUUAUUUUUAUAAAACUGAAAAGCAAUUUUAAUUAUGAAGACUUUAUUACUUUAAAUUGCAGUGUCCUCUGGUGUCAUCAAAUUUAACUAGCAAACUAAAACUUCAGAACAUCACAAAUGAAACUGAA